CCCGACAACAAAAGCUGAUAUACAGUACUGCGCUUCCUCUCAGAUUCCAAUUAUUGACCCGGCGCAACAAGCAUGUGGCAGGGUCCCUGGUUCGUGGUGCUGCUUUUCAGCUGUAGAAGUGUGGCUCUGACCCUGAUCCAGCCCGAAGCAUCGAUUACAGCACCUGUCGGGAAAGUCGUGCCAGUAUGGUGUCAAGUGAAUGGAGGCUCCGUCAGCAGUAGUAAUCCCCUUCACUGGUAUCAGCAGAAACCCGGCAAGCCGCUCCAAAGGAUACUCUACCAUGGAGAUGACGUAACGCGGGAUUCGGGAGCCGCAUCCUUCGGCGUGGGAAAAGUCUCAAAUUCCAAACUCUAUCUGUCAGUCAAAGUUAGUGCUGAAGCCGCUGCCACCUAUUACUGCGCCUACUGGGUUUACACAGUAUUUAAUAGAAAGCAAACUCCGCACAAAAAGCUCGACGAGCAGCCAGUCAAAGGGAACCGUCAAUCUGGAGGCUGCAGCGACCCCCAGCUAGAAUUGCACUUACCCAUAUCCGCCGGGCAGGAGUUGGGGCUCUGCUGA